CUCAGAUUGAACGCUGGCGGCAUGCCUUACACAUGCAAGUCGAACGGCAGCGGACCUUCGGGUGCCGGCGAGUGGCGAACGGGUGAGUAAUAUAUCGGAACGUACCUUUCAGUGGGGGAUAACGUAGCGAAAGUUACGCUAAUACCGCAUAUUCUGUGAGCAGGAAAGCAGGGGAUCGCAAGACCUUGCGCUGAUUGAGCGGCCGAUAUCAGAUUAGCUAGUUGGUGAGGUAAAGGCUCACCAAGGCGACGAUCUGUAGCGGGUCUGAGAGGAUGAUCCGCCACACUGGAACUGAGACACGGUCCAGACUCCUACGGGAGGCAGCAGUGGGGAAUUUUGGACAAUGGGCGCAAGCCUGAUCCAGCCAUGCCGCGUGAGUGAAGAAGGCCUUCGGGUUGUAAAGCUCUUUCGGCCGGGAAGAAAUCGCACAGGUUAAUACCCUGUGUGGAUGACGGUACCGGAAUAAGAAGCACCGGCUAACUACGUG
rnacentral:rRNA from 1 species